rnacentral:misc_RNA from 1 species
UCAAACUUGGUCAUUUAGAGGAAGUAAAAGUCGUAACAAGGUUUCCGUAGGUGAACCUGCGGAAGGAUCAUUAUCGAGUUAGGGUCUUUUAGGCCCGACCUCCCAACCCUUUGUUUACUGAACCACUGUUGCUUCGGCGGGCCCGUCUCACGACCGCCAGAGGAGCGCUGAAAGGCGUGUUCUCCGGCCCGUGUCCGCCGAUGGCCAACCACAAAAUUCUGUCUGAAUCGUGUUAUGUCUAAGUCAAUGAUACAAUUAAAAGCAAAACUUUCAACAACGGAUCUCUUGGUUCUGGCAUCGAUGAAGAACGCAGC